AUGUCAAAAUAAACCAGAUGCUCCACAGGGCGCAGCUUUAUACGACCGCAGAGGUUGAACCCUGAACGGUUGGGGCAAGUAUGGACACAACAUUCAAGCUGGAUUCAGCUCUAAAUUUGGAUUGUGAUUAAAUAGUUGACACAGCAUAGGUUUCUGACACAGAAUGAAUGUGGUCUAAUGAACUUAAAAAAAUUUUGUUUGCCUUUGAGCAAUUCACUAUGCUGUUGAAUAUUAAUCCUCUCAAAAAAAUGUUUGAAGAAAUUUUCUUUUUAUUUAUGAAAUCUGAAAUGAGAAAAAUUGACC
rnacentral:lncRNA from 1 species